rnacentral:misc_RNA from 1 species
GAUGAAGAACGUAGCAAAAUGCGAUAAGUAAUGUGAAUUGCAGAAUUCAGUGAAUCAUCGAAUCUUUGAACGCACCUUGCACUCCUUGGUAUUCCGAGGAGUACGCCUGUUCGAGUGUUAUGAAGCUCUCAAAACGCAAUUGGCUUAAAACCUGAUUGUUGUUUUGGAUUUGAACUUUGCCGUGUUAUAACGGCUGGUUUUAAAAGUAUUAGCUGGUACUAGAACGAAUUGGUUCUACUCAACGUGAUAAUUAUCUGAUCGUUGAGGACAUUCCUUUCACGAGGAAUGGCCAUAGUAAAUUCAAUGGACUGCUUCUAAUCUGGCUUUAAUUCUUUAUUGGAUUAACCACUUUUCAAAUCUGACCUCGAAUCAGGUGGGACUACCCGCUGAACUUAAGCAUAUCAAUAAGCGGAGGA